rnacentral:snRNA from 1 species
CUGCCAGCCCCGGCGGCACACGCGCUCAGAUCAGGGUGAAGCAGAGAAGACUGGCACAGCCCUGUGCAAGGAUGACACGGAAACUCAUGACGUUGUCCUUUUUUGU